rnacentral:rRNA from 1 species
GUACAACUCUGAGCGGUGGAUCACUCGGCUCGUGUGUCGAUGAAGAGUGCAGCCAACUGUGUGAAUUAAUGUGAACUGCGUACUGCUUUGAACAUCGACAUCUUGAACGCAUAUUGCGGCCGCGGG